AAGUCGUAACAAGGUUUCCGUAGGUGAACCUGCGGAAGGAUCAUUAUCGAAUUACUCGAGGGUUGUUGCUGGGGUCCCUAACCGGGAUUCAAAGUGCACGCCCUUGUCUACAUUCUCAAACCCCUGUGCACUUAUUGUAGGCUCGGUGGAAAGGCUGACUUUACGGUUGGCCUGAAAGCCUUGCCUAUGCUUUAACACACGCUUCAGUCUAUGAAUGUCAUUUUGCGGAUAACGCAUUUAAAUACAA
rnacentral:misc_RNA from 1 species